AGUUCCAGGGGAUCUGACGCCCUCUUCUGGCCUCUUGAGGCACUGCAUGCACAUGGUGGGUAGAAGAAUGAUGUCCCUCCCCCUGGGUGUAUCCUGGGGUGACCCCAAGCUCCCCUGACCUUUGCUCUCCCACUUCACCUUCAGGAACUCACCAGGGCCUGGCUGACCUUCCAAAUGCCUGUGGCACGGCUCUUGGAGAGAUCUCUACACAAUGACGGCCUUUGCUCAGGUCUCCAAAGUCACUGGCCCCCUCUGCCCACACCCUGGGCUCCACUGAGCCCUCACCUUGGUGAGAAGCCAGGGCCCACCAGCCCAGCACUGCCUUAUCUCAGGAACACUUUGCUGAGCUCAGAGCAUCGGGGGCUUUGUGAAGGACCUGUGCCCAGCCUGGCAGUCCCUUUCGCUUUCUGUAAAGGCUCUGUCUAAGGUCAGCCAGUCUCUCCACAGGUGGAGGCAGGGAAGGGAGUGUUCUCUUCGACCUCUCUAGAAUCUUGGCUUGGACUGCUUGGCUCGGCCAGUCCUGAACCCACCUGUUCUCAGUCAUCAGCUCGAAGUGGCCACCAGCCUCCUGGGUAUUCAACCCUCUAGACCCUGAGGACGUGAAUGCAAUAUAGUGUCUCUGGCAAGGCACAGAGCGGAUGAGCGCCUCCUAGCCCUACGCAGUCUCAACAAAACAAAUACAAAUGGUUUAAUGGUCAAUUAAACAAAAGAACAGCU